rnacentral:rRNA from 1 species
CGUAGCCUACGGGACGCAGCAGUGGGGAAUAUUGCACAAUGGGGGAAACCCUGAUGCAGCAACGCCGCGUGAGUGAAGAAGUCAUUCGUGAUGUAAAGCUCUAUCAGCAGGGAAGAAAAUGACGGUACUCUAAGAAUAAGCACCGGCUAACUACGUGCCAGCAGCCGCGGUAAUACGUAGGGUGCGAGCGUUAAUCGGAAUUACUGGGCGUAAAGGGUGCGCAGGCGGUU